rnacentral:rRNA from 1 species
GACGAACGCUGGCGGCGCGCUUAACACAUGCAAGUCGAGCGAAGCGGCGGACGGGUGAGUAACACGUGAGUAACAUGCCUAAGACAUUGGGAUAGCCUCGGGAAACCGGGUUUAAUACCAACUGGUCUACGAUGGACUCGCGUCCCAUUAGAAAGUUGGUGAGGUAACGGACCACCAAGGCGACGAUGGGUAGCCGGCCUAGGAGGCUGAUCGGCCACAUCGGAACUGAGAAACGGUCCAGAAUCUACGGGAGGGAGCAGUGGGGAAUAUUGCACAAUGGAGGGAACUCUGAUACAGCGACGCCGCGUGAACGAAGAAGGCUUUCGAGUCGUAAAGUUCUUUUAUAUGGGAAGCGGUACCAUAAGAAAAAACCCCGGCUAACUACGUGCCAGCAGCCGCGGUAAUUC